UAUUACUAAGGUUUAAAUUAUUAUACCCCUAUCGUAGGGAUUUCAUAGCUUUUUUGCAGAACCUUCUAGAAAGGUAUUUCUCUAGGAAAUCCCCGGGAUUUCCCGUGGAAUGCCCUAGGAUCCCUCUGUUAUAGGGUAUAUAAUAGAAAGAUCUUAGGGCAUUCCACGGGAAAUCUUAGGGAUUUUAUAGAGAAAUAUCUUUCUGGAAGGUUCCGCGAAAAAACUACGAAAUCCCUACGAUAGAAGUAUAAUAAUUUAAACCCUAGUAAUA
rnacentral:miRNA from 1 species